UGGGGAAUUUUGGACAAUGGGCGAAAACCUGAUCCAGCAAUGCCGCGUGUGUGAAGAAGGCCUUCGGGUUGUAAAGCACUUUUGUCCGGAAAGAAAUCCUUGGCUCUAAUACAGUCGGGGGAUGACGGUACCGGAAGAAUAAGCACCGGCUAACUACGUGCCAGCAGCCGCGGUAAUACGUAGGGUGCAAGCGUUAAUCGGAAUUACUGGGCGUAAAGCGUGCGCAGGCGGUUUGCUAAGACCGAUGUGAAAUCCCCGGGCUCAACCUGGGAACUGCAUUGGUGACUGGCAGGCUAGAGUAUGGCAGAGGGGGGUAGAAUUCCACGUGUAGCAGUGAAAAUGCGUAGAGAUGUGGAGGAAUACCGAUGGCGAAGGCAGCCCCCUGGGCCAAAUACUGACGCUCAUGCACGAAAGCGUGGGGAGCAAAACAGGAUUAGAUACCCUGGUAGUCCACGCCCUAAACGAUGUCAACUAGUUGUUGGGGGAUUCAUCUCCUUAGUAACGUAGCUAACGCGUGAAGUUGACCGCCUGGGGAGUACGGUCGCAAGAUUAAAACUCAAAUGAAUUGACGGGGUCAUAGCUG
rnacentral:rRNA from 1 species